UGGGGAAUAUUGCGCAAUGGAGGAAACUCUGACGCAGCAACGCCGCGUGAAGGAUGAAGGCUUUCGGGUUGUAAACUUCUUUGAGCGGGGACGAAGAUGACGGUACGCGAGGAACAAGCCACGGCUAACUACGUGCCAGCAGCCGCGGUAAUACGUAGGUGGCAAGCGUUGUCCGGAUUUACUGGGUGUAAAGGGCGUGUAGGCGGGGAUGCAAGUCAGAUGUGAAAUUCCGGGGCUCAACCCCGGCGCUGCAUCUGAAACUGUAUCUCUUGAGUGCUGGAGAGGAAAGUGGAAUUCCCAGUGUAGCGGUGAAAUGCGUAGAGAUUGGGAGGAACACCAGUGGCGAAGGCGGCUUUCUGGACGAUAACUGACGCUGAGGCGCGAAAGCGUGGGUAGCAAACAGG
rnacentral:rRNA from 2 species